CCUACGGGAGGCUGCAGUGGGGAAUAUUGCACAAUGGCGGAAACCCUGAUGCAGCGACGCCGCGUGAGUGAAGAAGUACUUCGUUAUGUAAAGCUCUAUCAGCAGGGGAGAAAAUGACGGUACCUGAGUAAGAAGCCCCGGCUAACUACGUGCCAGCAGCCGCGGUAAUACGUAGGGGGCAAGCGUUAUCCGGAGUUACUGGGGGUAAAGGGAGCGUAGACGGCGUUGCAAGUCUGGAGGUAAAGGCGGGGGGUCAACCCCCGGACUGCCGUUGAAACUGUACGGCUGGAGUGCAGGAGAGGUAAGUGGAAUUCCUAGUGUAGCGGUGAAAUGCGUAGAUAUUAGGAGGAACACCAGUGGCGAAGGCGGCUUACUGGACUGUAACUGACGUUGAGGCUCGAAAGCGUGGGGAGCAAACAGGAUUAGAUACCCUGGUAGUC
rnacentral:rRNA from 1 species